rnacentral:rRNA from 1 species
UUUCAUGAGAGUUUGAUCCUGGCUCAGGAUUAACGCUGGCGGCGUGCAUAACACAUGCAAGUCGAACGAUGAAACUUAAAUGAUUUCUUCGGAAUGAACUUAAGUGGAUUAGUGGCGGACGGGUGAGUAACGCGUGAGUAACCUGCCUUACACAAGGGGAUAGCCGUUGGAAACGACGAAUAAUACCCUAUGAAACUAUCACUU